rnacentral:lncRNA from 1 species
GUAGAGGUCAGUGAUGCAUCCGUCUUAUAUAAUUCGCAGUGCUCAUUAUAGCACCUGCCCUCCUUAAUCCCGGAUGCUUUAGAAGCUGGAAGAAACUUGAAGACCAUGGCACCCAGGCUCUCCUCAUUUUAGAGUUCAGGAGGCUGAGGCCCAGGGUGGGUGAGGAAGUACAAGCAGAGGCUCUGGUGGCUUUAAGAAGGGAGAGACUCCACCAGGUUGGGAGAUCAGGGAAGACUCCUCAGAGGAGGAGGCAUCUGCAGUCGGUUUUUAGGGAUGGAAGGAGGGAGCAAAAAUGUGGAGUGGGAGUGUCACAUGUGUUUAGAAGAGGGUGUGGGACGCCCUAGGAUCCUAGGGUGGAAGUGCUUGGGGACAGAAAAGGGAGGUUGAGGUCAAGUUACUAAGAAGGGAAGGAUGCCAGAGGGUGUUUAGCUGCCCCCCUGAAUGCAGGCUUUCAAAGUGGACUCUGCACCAGGCAGGUCUCGGGAGAAUGAAGCCCAACAUUCUGGUGGUUGGGUUCAAGAAGAACUGGCAGUCGGCUCACCCGGCCACGGUGGAAGACUACAUCGGCAUUCUGCAGUGAGUGAGGGCAUGAGGGAGGCAGGGCCUGGGGUCAGCUGAUUAGGUCCUUUGGUGUUUCUGGGCCUUGGGAAGCAGGGGGGAUGCAUUGGAAGUUAUAAGAAGCUGGUUCAAAGCUGAGGAGGAAACAGACCCACUGAGGGCUCACCACUCUGACCUCUAGGCCCUGGGCACCAAGCUGGGCAGGGAACACACAAAGAAGGAGAAUAGAUGAGACAUAGUAGGGAGCAGUGGGGACUGUGGCAAACUGCCGUGAGUAGCAACUAUUGGGCGCCAGCCAGUUGUGCCCAGGCAGAAAUGUGGGCCCAGUGUUGCCAAAGCUUCUGGUUUCUUAGAAGAGCCAAAAAGAUGGGUUUUUAGGUGAGAAACUUGGACUAUGGAAGACCUGCCAAGAGCCGGCCCUUGGGCUGUGAGGUGGUGACACCAAGCAAGAGGUGAAACCAGACCUCCCAGGAGGCAGUGGUAUGGGGAACGGGACCAUGAGGAGAAAGUCCCUGGGGACUCUGGGCUAAACUCCAAACCUUUUCUCCUUUGGCUCCUCCUGGGCAACCUCCAGAAAAUGUCUGCCUGAGUUGCUUUUCUGUGUUGAUGUGGUAUAGCGAGGCCGUGUGUAGUAGUGUUUAAAGAACAAAAGCUGGGGGGCCUGGGUGGCUCGGUCAUUGAGCAUUUGGCUCUUGAUUUCGGGUCAGGUCUUGAUCUCGGGGUCAUGGAAUCGAGCCCCACAUUAGGCUCCCUGCUCCGUGGGGAGUCUGCUUGAGAUUCUCUCUCUCUCUUUCCCUCUCUCCCCCUCUGCUCCCCC